UUUGGAAUACAUGUAUGUGUUACGUACGUGAAACGUACGUGUAACAUAUGUUAUGUGCAACCAUACGUUACACGUACGUUAAUAAACGUACGGUUUACAUGUAUAUUGUCAACCACAUGUUACACGUACGUUAAUUAACAUAUGGUUUACAUGUGUAUAGUCAACCACAUGUUACACGUACGUUAAUGAACACAUGGUUUACAUGUGUAUAGUCAACCACAUGUUACACGUACGUUAAUGAACUCAUGGUUUACAUGUGUUUUAUAAAGCACAAAUGUCAUGUAUAUAUAUAGUUUAUGUGCAUUAUAAACCACACAUUAAAUAUACUAAUGUACAUAAACAAAUUAUGGUUUACUUGUAUUCUAAAGCUCUCAUUACAUAUGUUGAUGAAUAUAGUAUGUGUAUUAUCAGGCACAUGUUACAUAUACAUUUAAAAAGGUGUUUUACAUGUGUGUGAAAACCUAUGUUUGAGAAUGAGAAGGCUGUAUAUUUUGUAAAUUCAUAUUAUUACAUACAUGUAUGUUAAAUGUAGGUUGACUGUAAAUCUAAUCCUUUUUAUUUUAUUUCAAAUUUAAUUUUUUAAUCAAAUUAUCAUUUAGUUUUUGCUAUAAAGAGAAAAAAAACCAAUGCGUUAAACAUUUAUUGUUGCUAGGGACUACAUAAUUUCACUUAAAAUAAGGAACUUUUUGUAUAAAAGUAUGGCUGACUUCCACAACUAACUAUUUUUCCUUAAUAGUUUAAGUUUUGGAGAACUAAUCAAGAUAUUAUUUAACAUAACAAUCAAUAGGCACUUAGGGCUUAACCUGUUAUUCAGGAAGAAGAGCAAUCAUAGUGAUAUGACCAUCUAUAAAAUCCUUCUUAUAACAUGUAUAACGGGUCCUUAUAUCAGAAGUUGCAUGUAUUUUAAUAAUUAUAAUAUUUUAAAAUCUAAAAUAUCUUUUUUUGACAUAAACAUUAUUAUGAUAUUUGGUUAAACCCAAUCACAACUGAAGCAUACAUGUGUGUGCGUUGUUGACUUGUCGUGUGCGUAUUUAAUGUUUCAAUUUAUUUCACAUUGUUCACCUUACGUCCACUUUCAUGUCUGGCAUAAUGUUAUCAGUUCGCAUUGGUUUAAAAUUUACUCUAAAAACAGUUAACAAAGUUUACAUAAAAAUUUCUCCAAUCUCGUCAUAUGUAUCGGAUAUCGGUAGAGGCACAUAAAAUUGAACUCGGUCAUCGGUAGAUAUAAUCAAUCCGAAUUCAAGAGCAAAAAUAUAUUUUAAAAAAAGAAAGAAAUUCACGAUAAUUUCACAACAAAUCUCAAAAGGGAGUAAAUGAUUCAUCUAGAUAAUUAUCAAAUAUACAGUGGGUACCGUCCGUAUAAAACUUAUAAAAUAUACCUUCCGGAAUUUUCCAGCCUCCAUUUAUGUAUUACAUGUACGUUACCAGUGACGUCACUGGAAAGAGAAGUCUGACGUCUGCAAGUUCUAGGGCCUAGCUAAAGUGUAUUACAUAAUGGAGGCGUGGGUUACCAAAAACAGAAAAUAUUGACCAUGUUGAGCCAGUGAGCUGUCUUGGUCAGCACCCAAGUGUAUCCAUCAACACGGGCACGUUAUAUCAAAAUGCAGAUAUGCAUUCCAGGAUGGUGACUGAAGCUCAUCUUUGUAAACACCUAUAUGCCUAGAAUGGACUCCAAAACAGAUUGUUAAAGUUUAACCAGUAUAAUCUUGAAUAUGGACAAAAAGUAUACACUUGGAACACAAACAAAAACAGAUGAGUCCAUGCCAAGCUAAAGAUUAAUGCAGAAGGUAAGUUCAAUUUUUCAUUUCGUAACUCUUCUGGUUUUAUCCAGAUCGGACCUUACAUAUAAUUAAGUCAGCUUCAGUAUAUAAUAGAAGGAUAUGGAGAUAACGAACAGUAUUCAAUCUCAAAGUCCAUAAAACUAUACAAAAUAAGAGCAGAGCAAACACGGACCCCCGAAACAUCAGAGGUGGGAUCAGGUGCCAUAAUAAAACACCUAUUUACUUACUAUUCGGAAAAUAGCUUGUUUAUCAUCUCCCUCAACAGCAAACUAUUUCCCUCGUCUGCAUCUUGGGGAAUAGUUGUUGUCUUGGGGGAUGAUAAACUAGCUAUUGUCCUCA